AUAUUGGUCAAUGGACGAGAGUCUGAACCAGCCAAGUCGCGUGAGGGAAGACUGCCCUAUGGGUUGUAAACCUCUUUUAUAAGGGAAGAAUAAGUUCUACGUGUAGAAUGAUGCCUGUACCUUAUGAAUAAGCAUCGGCUAACUCCGUGCCAGCAGCCGCGGUAAUACGGAGGAUGCGAGCGUUAUCCGGAUUUAUUGGGUUUAAAGGGUGCGUAGGCGGUUUAUUAAGUUAGUGGUUAAAUAUUUGAGCUAAACUCAAUUGUGCCAUUAAUACUGGUAAACUGGAGUACAGACGAGGUAGGCGGAAUAAGUUAAGUAGCGGUGAAAUGCAUAGAUAUAACUUAGAACUCCGAUAGCGAAGGCAGCUUACCAGACUGUAACUGACGCUGAUGCACGAGAGCGUGGGUAGCGAACAGGAUUAGAUACCCUGGUAGUCCACGCCGUAAACGAUGCUCACUGGUUCUGUGCGAUAUAUUGUACGGGAUUAAGCGAAAGUAUUAAGUGAGCCACCUGGGGAGUACGUCGGCAACGAUGAAACUCAAAGGAAUUGACGGGGGCCCGCACAAGCGGAGGAACAUGUGGUUUAAUUCGAUGAUACGCGAGGAACCUUACCUGGGUUUAAAUGGGAAAUGUCGUAUUUGGAAACAGAUAUUCUCUUCGGAGCGUUUUUCAAGGUGCUGCAUGGUUGUCGUCAGCUCGUGCCGUGAGGUGUCGGGUUAAGUCCCAUAACGAGCGCAACCCUUACCGUUAGUUGCUAGCAUGUAAUGAUGAGCACUCUAACGGGACUGCCACCGUAAGGUGAGAGGAAGGCGGGGAUGACGUCAAAUCAGCACGGCCCUUACACCCAGGGCUACACACGUGUUACAAUGGCCGGUACAGAGGGCCGCUACCAGGUGACUGGAUGCCAAUCUCAAAAGCCGGUCGUAGUUCGGAUUGGAGUCUGUAACCCGACUCCAUGAAGUUGGAUUCGCUAGUAAUCGCGCAUCAGCCAUGGCGCGGUGAAUACGUUCCCGGGCCUUGUACACACCGCCCGUCAAGCCAUGGAAGCCGGGGGUGCCUGAAGUCCGUAACCGCGAGGAUCGGCCUAGGGUAAAACUGGUAACUGGGGCUAAGUCGUAACAAGGUAGCCGUACCGGAAGGUGCGGCUG
rnacentral:rRNA from 1 species